ensembl:lincRNA D930007P13Rik Riken cDNA D930007P13 gene
CUGCCUCCGCCCGCGCAGCCCGGCAGCGUGUGGUCCUGCUGCCCGCGCCGCCCCGCCUGUUCCUCUUCGGAGCUGUCCUGGGCUCCUUACUUCCAAAGCCUACCUACCUUAAUCCUUUGGACAGAGCGCCCAGCCCUCAGUGCAUUGCUGCUUUUCACCUGCUGGCUGCAUCCACCUCUGACCUGGACCCCUUUUGGCCUGUGCAAUUCCGCUCUAUCUCUGGGUCACUGGCUCUGCACAGCUUGUGUUUCUCUCUGCCUCAGUUUACUCUCUUAGGCCUCCUGUGCCCUUUACCUUGAGCCCUUCCCUUUCCUCUUCAAGCCUACAUCCUAGCACCAGAGUAAGAGGCUUGAAGGAGAGGCAGAAGGUGGUGGUAACAAGUGCAUGGUUGGAAGAGGUGGCUUCUUCUCUGUAUCCUUUCAGCAUAGAAAGGACCGGCCUGUUCAUUCAGGACCAUCAGACGGCUCCUGUCCAGAAGUCCUGAGAUUGAUAGAUGUGGGUCCAUCAGCCCUGAGUGACCAGAACAUGGAACUUGUCAUUACCUGGUAUCAUGGAAUACCAAGGAGCUGGCAUCAGGAGACAUGCUUUGGACACAUUUAGUGAUGAAUCUUAUCAGCCUCAGGGAUGAGAGAGUCUUCAGUUAAAUAAGGCCCUGUUCUGUGGAGCUGGGCUUAGACAACUAGGCCUUAUUUUUCCCAUGUGUAAGACAUGGAGCUGGAAUCCGUGAACUUCAAAGGUCCUUUAGAGGUGGCUGAAAGCCUAGGAGGCCCUGUGCCAGGAACUGGAGUAGCCCAGCCCACAGAGUCCUGAGUGCUGCUCCUACCCCACCCCACCCCACACACAGUUCCUCUUCCUCUCGGUACUCCAUAUUGCGGCCACUUCUGCAAGGCUGGGCUGCUUGAACUCCGUGUUGGAUUUGGCUUCUUCCUCAGAAGACAAUUUAUGGCGACAUGUCGGAGACUCUGUUUUAAUGAAGUUGCAAAAGCUCCUCAGUCUCAGUCGUCUCCGCCACUAGGUAGGAGCUCGGAAUGUCUAGCCCUAGUCCGUCCGAUACUUGGAUGGAGCUUCCUCUCCUGCCUCGAGGGAGGGACAGGUCAUAAGACCCUCACUGCCAACAGAUGAAGCUGUGGACCAUGGUUUAGACUCCAAUAUCAAGGCAGACUGGAGCAGGGCCAGGGUGCCUGCAACCUCCUUGUCCCUUUCUCCUGGACACCUCUGUCCUUCACUCUAAGCCUCCUAGCUAUCUCUUACUGCUAUAGACCCUUCUCCUGCGAGAUCUCAAACUUUCAGAGAUGAGAGACUUUUAUCAUGGACCCAAGCAAAC